rnacentral:rRNA from 1 species
CAGCCGCCGCGGUAAUACGAGGGGGGCAAGCGUUGUUCGGAAUUAUUGGGCGUAAAGGGCGCGUAGGCGGUUUGACAAGUCUGAUGUGAAAUCUCUGGGCUCAACCCAGAGUCUGCAUCGGAAACUGUCGAGCUUGAGUAUGGGAGAGGUGAGUGGAAUUUCCGGUGUAGCGGUGAAAUGCGUAGAUAUCGGAAGGAACACCUGUGGCGAAAGCGGCUCACUGGACCAUUACUGACGCUGAGGCGCGAAAGCUAGGGGAGCAAACAGGAUUAGAUACCCGCGUAGUCCCUGUCUCUUAUAC